rnacentral:rRNA from 1 species
UACGAAGGGGGCUAGCGUUGCUCGGAAUCACUGGGCGUAAAGGGCGCGUAGGCGGCGUUUUUUUAAGUCGGGGGUGAAAGCCUGUGGCUCAACCACAGAAUGGCCUCGAUACUGGGACGCUUGAGUAUGGUAGAGGUUGGUGGAACUGCGAGUGUAGAGGUGAAAUUCGUAGAUAUUCGCAAGAACACCGGUGGCGAAGGCGGCCAA